GCAGUUUUUUCAACACUUGUGAAACCUUCAUUGAUCUCUUCAGAGCUGCUAGCACCAGUUGGCUGGAGCCCCCCCUCCUCAGAAGUCUGGGUCCCAGCUGUCAGGACUUUCCUCUGGACUUAGGGACAUCAGGACCAGGUAGAAAAGAGGUGUGUUUCAAUGGCAAUCUCUCCAACUUUGUGAGCUCUCCAUGAAAACUGUCUUUGAAUUCUAGCCUGUUCUGCUUCGUGACCUUGAGUAAAUUCCUGAACUGCUUUAAACAAAGCCUCAGUUUGCUCCUCUAUAAGAUGGAAAGAUAACAAUGCCUGUCUCCUGGGGUCACUGUGAAUAUUGGAUGCCAAAUUCAUGGCACAGUGCAUGGCAUAAAGAAAGACCUGACCUAAAUAUUGGAAUGAGGUUCACACACAGGGUAGCAAGUGCUGGAAACUCCAGAGGAUGAACAACUGAUCUUCUUGGAAUCUGAAGUCUCACCUGAGGGGCCCACUGCCAAGGACACCACCUCUGCCAUGUGUCAUUUGGUCUCAGGUUGGUUUCCUCAGAAACAUACUCUGAGAUGGAGGUUUUGGUGGGGUGAUGGGGAAAUGCCUUUGGGAUCAAUUCCUGUGAGACAGAAAAGAACAUGGGACUGGGCAGAGGGAGAAGGUGGGCUGCCGUGCAGUAGCCCAAAGACCUCAGCCCCUCCCAUGGGAAGUCUGGAGCUGGAAGGGCCCUUCAGGGUUGCUCUGGAUUGAGCAACCAGGGGCUGAGUCUUUGAAUGCCCCUUACCUAUUAGUCCUUGGGUGCAGGCUGUCCCUCUGAAGGUGUGUAUGACCAUGGGUGAGGCUGCUGGGGGCAGUCUCACGGAGGGGCUAAGUUGAGAGCCAUCAGGCUCCGGCAUCCCAAGAAACUUGGGGUAUGAGUGCUUCAAACAGAAAGUCACCUACCCAUUGGGUUUUAGAGUCCUGGGCAGCGCUUUUGACUAUCAGCUGUGAAAACUUGGGCAAAAUCAUUCAUUCAUUUGUUCAUUCAACCACUAUUUUUGAAAUGCCUACCACGUGUUUUAAGUUCUGGGGAUAAAGCAGUGAGGUGGUCAGGUUCAAACAAAACCCCAACCCUAUGGGACCUACCAUCUUGUUUGGGGAGGUAGAUAAGAAAUAAUCAAAAUAAUAAAAGUGACAGGCUUUCAUAAGAAAUAUAAAUGAAUGUAAGUAACAUACAAUGGUAUAAAGUACAUCUCAGACUUUAACUGGACACAGACCAUCUGGGAAUCUUGUUAAAAUGCAGAUUAUGAUUCAGUAGGUCUCAGGUGGGGCCAAGAUGCUACAUUUUUAAUAAGCUCCCAUUGAUGCUGAUGCUGCUGGUCCAUGGACCACACUUUGAGUAGUGAGAUAAACAGGGUGAACUAGGAGGAUCAGGUGGUGGAAAAGGGAAGCUACUUUAGAUAGACUGGGCUGUGUAAGUAGGGAUAUUUGAAUUGAGACCCGAAGAAGGUGAAAUUACUUCAUUUGAGUCCUAGUUUCCUCAGCUAUAAAAUGGGAAAAACAACUAAGUCUGGCACAAGGUAGGUGCUCAAUAAAUAUUAACUACUGUUGGAGCUGCUACUGGCUCAGCCAGGCCCAUUGUGAUUGUUCUUACUCUUUCUACCUCACUCCUUUUCAUCUUUUAUUUCUGCUGACUGCUGCCAUGUUCUCGCCAUAUUUUCUGUUUUAUUUUUUUAAAUUUAUUUAUUUAUUUUGCUUUUUAGGGCCACACCUGCAGCAUAUGGAAGUUCCCAGGCUAGAGGUCAAAUUGAAGCUCCAGCUACUGGCCUAUGCCACAGCCACACUAACUGAGAUCCGAGCUGCAUCUGUGACCUACACCCCAGCUCAUGGCAACUGGAUCCUCGAUACACUGAAUAGAGCCAGGGAUCAUACCCACAUCCUCUUGGAUACUAGUUGGGUUUGUAGCCCACUGAACCACAAUGGGAUCACUGUGGCCACAUUUUCUGUUUUAAAUUCCCAAGAAUAGGAACUGGAUUGGCUUGACUUUGUGUGGGCCCACUGCUUGGGGACCAGCCACUUCCUAAGCUUGCUGAUUGUCCAGUCUGCUGAUUGGCAAUCUUUGGCUUUGUUGUGUUUCAGUGGCCAAUCAGUUACAACUGGAGAACAGAUGGUAUGAACACAGCUCUGAAAGGCUGCUCCCCCAGCAGAGGCUCCAGGCAGGUACUAAGGCCAGUGUUUAAUGCAUGUGUCCCAAUAGGUCCCUCAUUCCCUUUUAGGAGGGCUUAGCUGUUUAUAAAGUUGUUUCUUCUAUUGAAUUGAGAAUUCUUGAAGGUAGGCACCUGUUUUACUGACUCAUGGCAGAGUAUUGGAACAAUAGGAACUUAACAAUAUUAUGGGGUUUAAUGUAGCAGUAUUGUGGAGGUUCCGUGGGGGCUCAUGUGCUCUUAGGAAGGUUUGGAGAAGGAAGCUGGACAGGCAGAGAAGGAAUUUGAAAGUCAAGGAGAAAUUCAAUAGAUGGAGUGAAGCAGAAUGCUUUAUGGAGAGGGGCACUUGUGUAAGCAAAUUUGCAUGGACAAGACCAACAUUUUAGAGAAAGACAGAGUGUCUUGGCUUGUUCAAGAACUAAAUUGGGGCAAUAUUUCCCCCUGAUACAAAUAUUCACUGGCAUUUUAUUUAGUCUUCCUGUGUAAGUCCUGUAUAUCUUAGUUUUGUCCACACACACAUACACACACACACCAUGUAAUAAAAUAAAACAUUCCAUGAAAACAUAUUCUGCUCAAUGCAUUAACUUCACUAGCUGCCGAGGUGUAGAAGUCCAAAGCCAAGAGUAAUAAAAAUAAACUAAGAGGCAGCUUGCACAAAGGAUGGUUUUUCACAAGGGUUCACAGAUCUUAUUUUAAGAUUGAAGCCCCCCAGGUGUCCUUCCUCUUCUUUUCAACCGACAGUUGUGGUUGUGCAAGGAGCACGGCUGGCCCUGGGGAACUGCCAGCCACUCUCAAACAAACAGCCACUUGUGGCUGCGGGCUUCCUCUUGGCUCUGCCUGGAGGCAGCAGUUAGUCUUGGGGAGUUUGGGGGCUGCAAGCUGGGGUCAGAUGAGUGGUGUUAACUCUGACUCCAGUCCCCUUGUUUUCAUUCCUGUUGUGACAAUGUGAGUUUCUCCCUUGAAUUUUGGAGGGGACAGCCCUUCCAAACGGGACAUCCUCUAACUUUUUUGUGACUAUGACUGCUGAUCCAUGGGGAUGCCACUAUUUUGGUCCUUUUGUCUCCCUGGAUAUCAAGAAAAGUUCUGCUUAAAUGAAUGAUAUGGGGGGAAGGAUGCAUUAGGAGUUUUGGAUUAACAUGUGCAUACUACUAUGUAUAAAAUAGAAGAUAACUAACAAAGACCUAUACUCAAUAUUUUGUAAUAACCUCUAAUGGGAAAGAAUCUGAAAAAGAAUACACAUGCGCACGUCUGUAUCUAUAUCUGUAUCUAUGACCAUCUUUAUCUAUCUAUCUAUCUAUCUAUCUAAAACUGAAUCACUGUGCUAUACACCUAAAACACAAAAUUGUAAAUCAACUCUGUUUCAGUUAAAAAAAAAAAAGAAUGGUACGAAUGAGAGUUAGGAGGAUGUGUUUAACUGGUCAAGGUCACUGCACACUGAAAAGCUCUCUAACUAAUAUCCCCUCCUACUUUUCUUUUACCUUAGAAUCCUUAUUGCAUACCAUAGCCAGAUUGAUUCCAAAACUUUCAGCUUGUCCUUCCCCAAAUCCUUGUGGUUCCUUACCCCCUAGGAAAGGUCUCUUUUCCCUUUGCUCAAAUUUACUUUUGCCACCCACCCCCCUGCCCCACCCAUCUGGCCUGCAACUUUUCUCGCCCUUGCACACUAUUUUCUAGACACAAAAUCUCCAAUCUAGCAGGUUGGUGAACUCUCUGUCCCUAGGUCCUACAGUCCCUGUCUCCAGGUCUCUGCCUACAUCGCUCCUAUGCCAGCCAUAAAUUCUUUUUUCUACUCUUGAAAUUCACCAGUUCUCCACGUCUAGCUUAACGCCUGCCUCUGGCAGCUCCCUGAAAGAUAGUUCUGCUCCCAAAGCAUCUCUCUGGACCCUUCAUCACUGGAUGUUAAUCUUGCCUCUAUUAUUUUUCUACUUUUGACAUGUCUAGGCUUGUGUCCUCAGCUAAGAUUAUACACUCCUAGAGGGCAGGGAUAGUUCACCUCCAGCAGAAAGCUCUGGAGAUUAAUGAAUUACUAGCAGCUUGGAUGAGGCACCCUGUUUCUUACAAAUCAAUUUCAUUGCAAGCAGACCUUGAAGUUCCCACACUUGAGCUUUCUGGUAAUACCAGCACCACAUGCACUUGACUUGAAGAAGCUGACAUAUCAUGAGACUUUUCUCUGUUUUUUUUCUCUCAGGCUGAUCUUUCCUGCAUAGUCAGUGUAGUGUAGUGGGAAGGCCUCUCAGAGGGAGUGAAGAGAUUGGGCACUAGUCUCAUCUCUGCUGGCAACUAGCUAAGGUACCUCUCAUGAGUGAACCUGGUUGUCUGGGGGGAUCCAUUUCUUUAAGCUGUGCAUUUCGGAGGCCAACAUAAUCCCACCUUGAAUUAAUAAAGAAAGGGCAAGGCUGGGGUGGGGGGACACAUUUCUGAAAAUGUGGUCCAACUUUGCACUUUUGCCCCUGUUUUCCUCUUUUUGUUUUCUCCAGCUAGUACCACUUCCUCCCUCCCCACCUCCCAGCCCUCUCCUUUUUUCCCUUUAAGUGUCAGUAAAUCUGAUAACCAUCUCACUUUUCUUUUAUUCCUUUCCUUGUUCUAACCAUACUUCGGCAUGUUUUCCUUAGAUAAACAUUUCUGGUACUACAAGUGCUGAGUGCUAUACAGACAAGCUCCAGCUUACUUUGCUUUCAGAAUCUUUUGUUAAAAAAGAAAGAAAGAAAGACGUGAACUCUCAGCCCUGAGAUACAUCUUUCUUGUAAUUAAACAUUGCAUUUCCACUCAAGAGUGCCAAGUCUUUAAAAAGCACGACCUCAUUCAUCUCUCAUCCCCUGUCAGUUCCUGGGUUUUAAAGAAAUGAAGGUACAAGGGCAAUGCCCAUUGUGCUGCCCCAUUUUGUGGAGUGAGAAAUCAAGUCUCAGAGCUCAUGGCAAUUUGCCUGAGGGGGUCAGUGAGUCCUUGGCUAGUAGGGGAACAGGAUGUGGGGUUCCUGGUUUCCAGCCAUUUCUCUAACCAUGGGCAUGGGGACAAGUUUGAGCAGAAUCACGAAGAGGCAGAUGGAUUUCUAUGCACCCAGAGAGGAUGAUGCCCUGGGCUUUAGGGAGGUGAUGAGUGAGGGCAGUGAUGUGCUCUGACUGCAGACAGGUGAAGGGAAAGGGAUUCACCUAGAUACUCUUCUAAAACAAAGAGAAAUCUCCACUGAGGCAAUACCAAAGGGGAGAUAAAAGAGGAUAUGGGCCACGCUCAACUUUAUCUAUGGGUGCCCAGUCCUAAACACCAAGCUGUAUUUACCUGCUUCAGAUCUCCCAACUUUGCCUUGAAAUUUGACCAGAGAUGGAUUUAUCAAGGAGCUAAUGAAGCUUACAUUUCAGGGCCUCUCACCUGCACAGGUGCUUUCCAAGAGCCCAGGAAGGCCCUACUGGUAGUUUCACAUGGCUGUAUCUUUUUGUAAAAUUUGCCAAAGUAAGAUAGUCUGUUUUUAGUAAGCCACCCAAAUUAUACAAACUUUAGGACUUGAAAAAUCUGAAUCUGUUCCUGGACCUGAUCCCCACUGACACAUUAUCCUAGCUUUUGUUUUUCAUGAAACCUCUUCUCUUCCUAAAGGGGUCUUUGCUGCCUUAAAUUGCCAGCUAUGUUUGUGCUUGCUCUGUCCUUAUUGGGCAAUUGCAAUUCUUAGCCUUAAGGAAGGAAGCUAGCCCUCCUUGAGCACUUAACCAUGCUUUCAUAAACACCAUCAAAGUCCAGAUUCACCACAUCGUACUUUUUCAUAGUGGGGAAUAGUUUCAGGGAGAUCUGGUAACAUGGUGAAAAUUGAAUCGCUUGACUAUGACACAGCCCAACCAGGAACUCAUCCUUUUUGCAUAAGCAGAAGUAUUGGGAAGGAAAAAAGUGGAUUCUGGGGUAAGGGGAAAGUGCCUUCCUUUUUGCUCAAGUCAUUUUUCUUUGUUUUCCUUUCCAGAUCCCUUUCUCUGUGCUUUCUGUGAUUGUGAUCAAUGCAUGUUUACAGGGUCUGUGGUCUCUGCAAACCCUUGGGAUAGACACCCCAAAUCGAAAAGGCAGUUGCUUAUAAUUUAAAAGAGAGAGCAGUAUGCCACGGGUGCGGCCCUAAAAGACAAAAAAAAAAAAAAAAAAGACCAAAAAAAAAAAAA
rnacentral:lncRNA from 1 species